GACGAACGCUGGCGGCGUGCUUAACACAUGCAAGUCGAGCGAUAAAGUUCCUUCGGGAAUGGAUUAGCGGCGGACGGGUGAGUAACACGUGGGUAACCUGCCUCAUAGAGGGGAAUAGCCUUCCGAAAGGAAGAUUAAUACCGCAUAAGAUUGUAGUAUCGCAUGAUACAGCAAUUAAAGGAGUAAUCCGCUAUGAGAUGGACCCGCGUCGCAUUAGCUAGUUGGUGAGGUAACGGCUCACCAAGGCGACGAUGCGUAGCCGACCUGAGAGGGUGAUCGGCCACAUUGGGACUGAGACACGGCCCAGACUCCUACGGGAGGCAGCAGUGGGGAAUAUUGCACAAUGGGGGAAACCCUGAUGCAGCAACGCCGCGUGAGUGAUGACGGUCUUCGGAUUGUAAAACUCUGUCUUCAGGGACGAUAAUGACGGUACCUGAGGAGGAAGCCACGGCUAACUACGUGCCAGCCGCCGCAGUAAGAC
rnacentral:rRNA from 1 species